rnacentral:rRNA from 1 species
UUUGAGUUUGAUCAUGGCUCAGGAUGAACGCUGGCGGCGUGCUUAACACAUGCAAGUCGAACGAUGAACUGGUGCUUGCAUCGGGGAUUAGUGGCGAACGGGUGAGUAACACGUGAGUAACCUGCCCUUAACUCUGGGAUAAGCCUGGGAAACUGGGUCUAAUACUGGAUAUUGACUUUUCCUCGCAUGGGGUUUGGUUGAAAGAUUUUUUGGUUUUGGAUGGACUCGCGGCCUAUCAGCUUGUUGGUGAGGUAAUGGCUUACCAAGGCGACGACGGGUAGCCGGCCUGAGAGGGUGACCGGCCACACUGGGACUGAGACACGGCCCAGACUCCUACGGGAGGCAGCAGUGGGGAAUAUUGCACAAUGGGCGAAAGCCUGAUGCAGCGACGCCGCGUGAGGGAUGACGGCCUUCGGGUUGUAAACCUCUUUCAGUAGGGAACAAGGCCAUA